AGGCGGUGAUGAAUGAAAUAUAUACCAUCAAACUAUGAAAGCUCUAUUAUGGGUUUGUUGAUGUUAUCUCAACCAUUACUGAGCCC